ACGUUAGCGUCACUUUCUACGUGGAAACUGUAACCGUCUAGAGUUCUCUGCAAAUUACACGUCUUCGGCCCAUUAAACAUUCUGGCUCACCAAUUAAUGGUAACACGUCAUCGAUUCCUUAACCUCCUCGUCCAGUCAUCAACUCCUGAAGCUUAACGACGAAAAAGUAAAAGACGAAAAACAAAAUUAGAGAAUGAGGUUAAUAAUUAUUAAAUAAAAAUAUUAUUAAAAUGCAUUCAGAUUCCACGUCAUCGAUGCGGACACAAAUUGUUGAGUAUGUAGCUCCAUACUUAUUUCAUACGAAUACGAC
rnacentral:lncRNA from 1 species